UGGGGAAUUUUGCGCAAUGGGCUAACGCCUGACGCAGCAACGCCGCGUGGAGGAUGAAGGUCCUUGGAUUGUAAACUCCUGUCAGCAGGGAAAAAGCAACUCAACCUCAUACGUUGAGAAGUUGAUUGUACCUGCAGAGGAAGCCCCGGCUAACUCUGUGCCAGCAGCCGCGGUAAUACAGAGGGGGCAAGCGUUAUUCGGAAUUAUUGGGCGUAAAGGGCGCGUAGGCGGCCUGACAAGUGGAUGGUGAAAUCCCUCGGCUUAACCGAGGAACUGCCAUCCAGACUGUUUGGCUUGAGACCGGGAGAGGUGAGUGGAAUUCCCAGUGUAGCGGUGAAAUGCGUAGAUAUUGGGAGGAACACCAGUGGCGAAGGCGGCUCACUGGACCGGUACUGACGCUGAUGCGCGAAAGCGUGGGGAGCAAAC
rnacentral:rRNA from 1 species